AAUACUCAUCUCUAUUACCGGUAUACAUACAUUUCAUCCACGCCAUUUUAACUAGAACAGCUUGAAAAUUGUUUGCCAAUAAAAGUAAAAUUUAAUCAGUAAAUUUUGAGUAUUGCAAGGAAAAGAAAUCCAAUGUCCGAUUAUCGAUCGCAGUCACGGGAUGGGCACCGAGAUGGUGGACGUGGCGGUGGAGGCCGAGAUUAUUCCAGUGAUGACGAUCCGCCCAUGUCGCGUCUUUUCAUAAUUUGCAAUAAAGCUCAUACAGAAGAAGAUUUUCGAGAAGCAUUCUCUCCUUAUGGUGAAAUCGAAGAUAUUUGGGUGGUAAAGGACAAGAACUCCGGAGAAAACAAAGGGAUUGCUUAUGUAAAAUUUGCAAAGACAUCUGAUGCGGCUAAAGCGCAAGAAGAGAUGAAUGGCAAGACAAUUGGCAAAAUGGAUCGGACUUUGAAGGUGUUAGUAGCCGCCAACCGAAACCAGGGUUCUAACAAAUCUGAAAAUGAACAGGAAAAGUAUGUUCGCCUGUUCAUUGUUAUAUCGAAAUCAGCUACUGAAGACGAAAUAAGGAACGAAUUUUCCCAAUGGGGUGAUGUGGAAAAUGUAACGAUUGUCAAAGAUAAAUCAACUGGAUCACCCAAAGGAUUUGGAUAUGUCCGAUUUACAAAGUUCUAUCAUGCAGCUGUCGCAUUUGAAAAUUGCCCUCCCAAAUACAAAGCAGUUUUUGCUGAGCCUAAAGGCUCUACACGUUCACAAAGAGACCAGUACGGACGACAAACUGAUGAUAACCCACUGAUAGGCUCGAGUCGUGGUGGUGGGGGAGGCAGUAGUAGUGGCACCUAUAACAAUGGCAACUUUAAUAAUGACUGGAACUGCUCUUUCAACAGUGAUAUGGCAGCAUUCCUGAGAAUGCAAAAUGUUCCCAUGCCACAACCAACCUGUUUAGAAGUGAUCGCUAGUAAUUGUGUUAAUCAGGACCAGUUGUGGCGUUUAUUUGACAUUAUCCCUGGCUUAGAUUAUUGUCAAAUAACGAGAGAAUAUGGCCCAAGAACCAACGAAGCAAUUGUCGUUUAUGAUAAUCCUGAGGCAGCAAUUUAUGCAAAAGAUAAAUUGCAUGGCCUUGAAUAUCCGAUGGGCGAACGAAUCAUCGUUAAAGUGGCAGGGAUGAGUUCAGCUCGAAUGGAUACAUCGUUCAUAGAUAAACGAACUAAAAAAGAUUCAAUAUGUAAUGUACCAUUGCCACCUGCUCAGCCAAUGGCAUCUACUGACACACCAGUGGCACAACGAUUGUUUAUUGUAUUAGCUGCAAAUCUUCCACAGUCUAUUUUGAAGAAUGUAUUUUCAUGUUGGAAGGGUCUAAUCGAUGUGUACCUACUGCCGAAUAAAAAUUGUGGCUACGUAAAAUAUGCAGAUAGAGACAGCGCACAAAAGGCGAUUCAAGCGUUGAAUGGUGCCGAAAUUUGUGGCACGAAAAUAAAAGUAAUGGAAGCGGAAGAGCGGGGUAAUGGAGAUGGUGAUGACAAUGGAAGGAAACGCCUUCGAAGAAAUUAAACGUAAGCCAGUAAUUUAUUUUAAUUUUUAUUUUGUCGUUACAAAUAAUCAACAAAAGACAGUAUUUGUAUCUGACAUAAACAUAAAGCAAACCAAAUUAAAACCAUAACAAUAACGUUCCAUUACUUAAUAAAAACAAAAGAAAUAUAAUGAAACUAACUGACCGCAGAAAACAAUUACGGAAACGAAACGCAAACGGAGUUAAAACGGAAACUGCUAGACACAGAAGAACGAAGAUUUUGUAGAGGUGGUAAUAGCAUAUGCAUAAGAAUAUGUAAAGUGCUUCAGCAAUGAACAAACCGCCAACCCAACCGACUCAGACUUUCACAAUCACUCUGUCACAGUCAUAGUCACCACAAUAUGAAUAAAGCUACAUAAUGUCACUUGUAGACAAUGACCAAUUUGAGACAAAGUACCCCAAUACGCAAACGGAGCCAAACGCUAACGGAGCGCAACAGACACUGUAAUGAGCUACAGCUACAGUACAGAGAAAUAAUUGAUAUUAUGAGUGUUAAAUUGAGCAGAGGUUUUACAAGAAAAAAGUUAAACGAAAUUUACGAAAAAUUAAACGUAACUAGAACGAGAACGCGAACCUGAACUAAAACCCAUAUGGACGAAGAUAUGUACGCUAUGCACACGAUGCAAGAACCGAAUUAACUUUUACCACAGCAAACUUUAAUACUCCCUUUCAAAAAUUUACAUAUACCUAAAACCAGAUACUUUUAACACUUAAACAUCUAUCCAUACAUGUACAUGCCUAUUUAGACGUUUACUCAUUAUUUAUUCGUUUAUAGUUCACAGUUUGAAUUAGGAAAAUUUACUUUUUCUAAAUGCAAUCAAACUGUGGUGUAUGUGGGAAAUAUUCAACCGUAUUGCCAACAUAUUUGGCAUUUUAUUAUAUACAUAUGAAAUAUUUUAAUUGCCGAUUAUUAUGAAUAUAUUAAUAUUAUAAAUAU